rnacentral:rRNA from 1 species
UACGUAGGGUGCGAGCGUUGUCCGGAAUUACUGGGCGUAAAGAGCUCGUAGGUGGUUUGUCGCGUUGUCCGUGACAUUCCCUGGCUUAACUGGGGGCGUGCGGGCGAUACGGGCAGACUGGAGUACUGCAGGGGAGACUGGAAUUCCUGGUGUAGCGGUGGAAUGCGCAGAUAUCAGGAGGAACACCGGUGGCGAAGGCGGGUCUCUGGGCAGUAACUGACGCUGAGGAGCGAAAGCGUGGGGAGCGAACAGG